rnacentral:pre_miRNA from 1 species
CUUGUACUCCCUCCGUCCGAAAAUACUUGUCAUUGAAAUGGAUGUAUCUAGAUGUAUUUUAGUUCUAGACACAUCCAUUUUGAUGACAAGUAAUUCCGGACGGAGGGAGUAUUGG